GACGAACGCUGGCGGCGUGCCUAAUACAUGCAAGUCGAACGCUUCUUUUUCCACCGGAGCUUGCUCCACCGGAAAAAGAGGAGUGGCGAACGGGUGAGUAACACGUGGGUAACCUGCCCAUCAGAAGGGGAUAACACUUGGAAACAGGUGCUAAUACCGCAUAACAAUAUCAAUCGCAUGAUAGAUAUUUGAAAGGCGCUUAUGGUGUCACUGAUAGAUGGACCCGCGGUGCAUUAGCUAGUCGGUGGGGUAACGGCCUACCGAGGCGAUGAUGCAUAGCCGACCUGAGAGGGUGAUCGGCCACAUUGGGACUGAGACACGGCCCAAACUCCUACGGGAGGCAGCAGUAGGGAAUCUUCGGCAAUGGACGCAAGUCUGACCGAGCAACGCCGCGUGAGUGAAGAAGGUUUUCGGAUCGUAAAGCUCUGUUGUUAGAGAAGAACAAGUAAGAUAGUAACUGAUCUUGCCUUGACGGUAUCUAACCAGAAAGCCACGGCUAACUACGUGCCAGCCGCCGCCGUAACAC
rnacentral:rRNA from 1 species